rnacentral:rRNA from 1 species
ACGUAGGGGGCAAGCGUUGUCCGGAAUCACUGGGCGUAAAGAGUACGUAGGCGGUUUGUUAAGUUAGAUGUGAAAGUUUGCAGCUCAACUGUAAAAGUGCAUUUAAAACUGGCAGACUUGAGUCUCGGAGAGGUAAGCGGAAUUCCUAGUGUAGCGGUGAAAUGCGUAGAGAUGAGGAGGAACACCGGUGGCGAAGGCGGCUUACUGGACGAGUACUGACGCUCAGGUACGAAAGCGUGGGGAGCGAACAG